rnacentral:rRNA from 1 species
CGGCCCACGACACCUUGCUUAGCCACACCCUCAAGGGAAUCCAGCAGUGAUAAACAUUAAGCUAUAAGUGAAAACUUGACUUAGUUAAAGCUAAGAAGGCCGGUAAAACUCGUGCCAGCCACCGCGGUUAUACGAGAGGCCUAAGUUGACAGACAGCGGCGUAAAGAGUGGUUAAGGAAAACACAAAACUAAAGCCGAACGCCUUCAGAACUGUCAUACGUUUUCGAAGGUAUGAAGCCCAACCACGAAAGUGGCUUUAUCCCCCCCCCCCUGAACCCACGAAAGCUAAGAAACAAACUGGGAUUAGAUACCCCACUAUG